GACGAACGCUGGCGGCGUGCUUAACACAUGCAAGUCGAGCGACUGCAUUCUUUUCGGAGGGUGUAUGGAGCGGCGAACGGGUGAGUAACACGUGAGUAAUCUGCCUUUGGCUUGGGAAUAACUUCGGGAAAUCGGGGCUAAUGCCUGAUGUUUACUGUCUGCUGCAUGGUGGGUGGUGGAAAGAUUUUUUGGCCAGGAGUGAGCUCGCGGUCUAUCAGC
rnacentral:rRNA from 1 species